rnacentral:snRNA from 1 species
GUACCUUUCUAGACCUUUUGGCUAAGAUCAAGUGUAGUAUAUGUUCUUAUCAGUUUAAUAUCUGAUACGUGAGUCAAUGGCUCACACGAUAUUAACUCAAUUUUUUAGGGUAAAAGAUUCACUUAUGUAGCUUACUGCUUGGGUCUUUGAGUGUCGCCUUGGCAUUGCACUAUUGCCUUGGCCUGGCACACCCCAC